rnacentral:rRNA from 1 species
AUGCCUAGCCGGGUGGGCGCUGACGAUGCCCGUGGCGGCCCCGGAGUGGGGGAGAUCGUGGACGCCAGCGGCGGCGUGCGCGAGAGAGCCGUGCCUCCUGGGAACCGUUCCGCGGCGCGGAAGACCGCGCGGUUCGCGGAGCCCGUCUCCGCGCCGCGCGGGAGCGGCAACGUCGACGACGACGACGGCGACGGCGACGACGGCGACGGCGUGGAGAUCACCUUCGACAAGCGGUACGACACGAUCGCGGUGCCCCGCGUGAGACCGGUGGCGCGCGGUGAGGACCCGUGCGUGAAGCUGCUGGCGCGGACGCCGGAGAAGCCGGAGUCCUCGUCCGGCCAUGCCGUGCUCAAGAACUCCUUGACGCGGAUCCAGCAGGAGACCCGGCGGGUCGCGUCCUUGAAACGCCGGGGAGGCGGCUUCGACAGGCCCAUGCCGUCCGCCCCCGCGCGCGCGCUCCAGGGUCUCAAGUUCGUCAGCGAGACACACGCCUCCAACGGAUGGACCGAGGCCGAGAGGUUCUACGACAGAAAUGUACGCCUCCCCCGCUCCAUGUUCGGCCAGUGCAUCGGUAUGAAAGAGGCCGCGUUCGCCGGCGAGCUGUUCGACACGCUGGGAAGGCGGCGGCGCAUCUCCGGGGACAGCAUCGACAGGGCGGAGCUGCGCGAGUUCUGGGAUCAAAUCUCCGACCCCAGCUACGAGAACCGCCUGCAGCUCUUCUUCGACAUGGUGGACAAGGACGCUGACGGGAGGAUCAGCCAGGUGGAGUUCAAACAGAUAAUUACAAUGAGCGCGUCGGCGAACCAGCUAACGGUGGGCGGACAGGACUUCGAGGAGUGUGCCCGGUUAAUCAUGGAGAAGUUGGACCCCGACGGCCUUGGCUACAUUGAGUUGUACGACCUAGAGACACUAUUGGUGAAAUUGUGGAAGGAACCCAAUCCUCUGAGGCGGUGGUACCGCCACGCCAGAUACUUCCUCAAGGACAAUUGGCGCCCCUGCUGGGUCGCGUCCUUGAACCGCCGGGGAGGCGGCUUCGACAGGUCCAUGCCGUCCGCCCCCGCGCGCGCGCUCGAGGGUCUCAAGUUCGUCAGCGGGACAGACGCCUCUGACGGAUGGACCGAAGCCAGGAGGUUCUUCGACAGAAAUGCACGCCUCCCCCGCUCCAUGUUCGGCCAGUGCAUCGGUAUGAAAGAGGCCGCUUUCGCCGGUGAGCUGUUCGACGCGCUGGGAAGGCGGUGUCACAUCUCCGGGGACAGCAUCGACAAGGCGGAGCUGCGCGAGUUCUGGGAUCAAAUCUCCGACUCCUGCUACGAGACCCGCCUGCAGCUCUUCUUCGGCAUGGUGGAUAAGGACGAUGACGGGAGGAUCAGCCAGAUAAUUACGUUGAGCGCGUCGGCGAACAAGCUAAAGGUGGGCGAACAGGACUCCGAGGAGUGUGCCCGGUUAAUCAUGGAGAAGUUGGACCCCGACGGCCUUGGCCACAUUGAGUUGUACGACCUAAAGACACUAUUGGUGGAAUUGUCGACGACGACCAACGGGGAUGAAUCGAGCAAUCCGAUGGCGGAACCCAAUCCUCUCAGGCGGUGGUACCACCACGCCAGAUACUUCCUCGAGGACAAUUGGCGCCGUUGUUGGGUGAUGCUCCUAUGGUUCUCCAUCUGCGCCGGUCUCUUUGCUUGGAAGUUCGUGCAGUACCGUCAUCGUGCGGUGUUCCAGGUGAUGGGCUACUGCGUGUGCGUGGCCAAGGGCGGUGCCGAGACGCUCAAGUUCAACAUGGCACUCACCCUCCUUCCCGUGUGCCGGAACGCCAUCACGUGGCUCCGGAGCCGCACCGUCGCUGGGCAGUUCGUGCCGUUCAACGACAACCUCAACUUCCACAAGGUGAUCGCGGUGGGGAUCUCCGCCGGGGCCGGUUUGCAUGUCUUCUCCCACCUAGCAUGCGACUUUCCGCGGCUGUUGCACGCCACCGACGACGAGUACAAGCCCAUGAAGCCGUUCUUCGGCGACGUCAAGCCGCCCAACUAUUGGUGGUUCUUGAAGGGCACGGAGGGGUGGACCGGGCUAGUGAUGUUGGUGCUCAUGGCCAUCGCCUUCACGCUCGCCACGGGGCGGUUCCGCAAUAGGAAACCCAGGCUUGCCAAGCCCAAGAAGCAGGAUGACAACCUCCCCCGGCACAAGAAGCGAGACAACCUCCCUAGGUUGCUCCACCGCCUCACCGAGUAUGGCGGCGCCUCACGCAACCGUCUCACUAUGCUCUUCUACGCCUUGCUCAAUCGUUUCACCGGGUACAACACCUUCUUGUACACACACCACCUCUUCAUCAUCGUCUACGUGCUGCUCAUCGUCCAUGGCCACUUCCUCUACCUCACCAAGAAGUGGCAAAAGAAGACGAGAGGACCGGAGGGGAUUGAGAGAAUUUUGACUUGCAUGGGGUUUAAUCUUUCUUGGAUCUCCUUCAAACCAAUGAUGUGGUACGUGCAGACGUGGAUGUACCUCGCGGUGCCGAUGAUCGUGUACGCGUGCGAACGACUGACCCGGACGCUGCGGUCGAGGGUGCGGGCGGUGCAGAAGGUCAAGGCGGUCGUGCACCCGGACCCGGCGGCCCUGUUGUCGCUGCACUUGUCCAAGCCGCAGGGGUUCAGGUACAAGAGCGGACAGUACAUCUUCGUCAAAUGCCCUGAUAUCUCGUCAUUCGAGUGGCACCCCUUCUCCAUCACAUCGGCGCCGGAGGACGACUACGUCAGCGUCCACAUCAAGGCGAUGGGCGACUGGACAAAAGACCUCAAGGACGCCUUCAAGGUUUGCGAGUCGUCGACGGAGGAGAAGAAGACCGAGAUUCUCCGAGUAGAGUACGACCAUGACAAGGCCAUGCCAACUCUGGGGGAUAGAAAAAAUCUCCUCCCUGGUCCAACCCGGUCUAGAUUUUCUUUUGCUCGUAUGGCAGGACGAAUUUCCACGUACCAACUGGCAUUCGUGACUGCCAUGUCCCCCCCGUUGUGUAUGAGAUACUCCAUUGUUUAUAUUUUCGGGAAGAUGGACGACCAUCAGUUGAGGUACCCGAAGGUGCUGAUUGACGGGCCGUACGGCGCGCCGGCACAGGACUACAAGCAGUACGACACCUUGCUACUGGUGGGACUCGGCAUCGGAGCCACACCCAUGAUCUCGAUCAUCAAGGACAUCAUCAACAACAUGAAGCGGCUUCCCGGGGACAUCGAGUCAGGCAACCCUGGCGACGGGAGCACGCCAUCAUCGUUCCGGACUCGCCGCGCCUACUUCUACUGGAUCACCCGGGAGCAAGAAUCCCUGGAGUGGUUCCGUGGGAUCAUGGACGAGGUGGCCGAGACGGACGAGCAGGGCGUCAUUGAGCUCCACGUCCACUGUACGAGCGUCCACGAGGAGGGCGACGCCCGGUCGGCGAUGCUCACUAUGGCCCAGUCCCUCAACCACGACGAGCACGGCAUUGACAUCAUCUCCGGCAGUCGAGUCAAGACCAGCUUCGGCCGAGCAAACUGGAGGGAAGUCUACCGACACAUAGCCCAGCGGAAUCAACGAAAACGUGUCGGAGUGUUCUACUGUGGCAUGCCGGCGCUGACGAAAGAGCUGCGCGAGCUUGCGAAGCUUUCCUCGAGAGAAACAAGCACAACAUUCGAGUUCCACAAGGAGAACUUUUAG